rnacentral:misc_RNA from 1 species
UGAAAAAAUGUGAAAAUCAUAUAAAAUGGCGAAUCUGCGAAGAAGCUCAUAUGACCGAAAACGAAUCAGAGUAGCUUCACAAAGAUUUUGCAAGAGUCAGUUAAUUACAUCUAUUGUCGAUAUUUGUCGAUCGAUUUAAUUGUACGAGGAUCGAGGACCAAUGUGAAAACGUUAACUUUAUUUGUGCGAACAAACUCGCGUGAAAGCAAGACUGGCACACGAGAGAGGAUGAUUCAUCGGAGUUUGCCUGUUGCAGACGGAUCGACCUCUUUCUUCCUUACAGCGGUGUGGUGUGGCUGAUGUACAGGCGCAUGUUUCCGACCCGUGCACAGGUAUCGUGCCCGGUGGUGUUGGUGCGCUCAACAACCUCUUUCCUUGCUACCGCAAACCGCAGGCGCAACCCAAUUUGUGCCCCCAAAAAAGAACCGGUAGAACCUGAGUGUCCCUUGUCUCGCCGCUGGACAUCGUCUGCACGAGACUGUUUUCGUACGAAAAAAAAAGGCAUUGAUCCACGCACAAUGAAAACCAACUCAUCCAGUGAAACCUAAAGGUCAACCUACGAAUACACGAUCAAGAACUAGCUGGAAAGGAAAUGAAACGCGAAGCUUUCUGUUUUGCCGGUGGCAGCCCUUACGGAGGUUCUCUCGAGAGGCGUGCCCGGCUCCCGAAAAGGAAGAGGAAGUGGCUCUGGGGCCGGGCUCGGACGAAAGGGAACGGCUUCCAUCGCUUCCACCAGACGGAACAUCGUUUUUGCGGGAACUGAGUUUGCCGACACACCAAUUUCUUCCCCUCUCCGCGCAUCCAUAGCGAAACGUGCAAUUAGAGAAUAUUGUCUGAAGCGAAUGGUGCUCGUUGCACAUGGCGUUGCAUUCACUAUCGUGCACGUGCACGAUGCACGAAGACCAGCCACAGAGUGGCAGGUUUCGCGUUUUUUGUCGGUCGAGACUGAGGGUAAAGGGAGACGUGGCGGAGGAACACGUGCGAACCACAUGCGUCUUCGCUCCGGGGGUCUCUACCCUCCGGUGUUUCAAACUUCUAGGCUUUUAAAAUGAAAUCU